GACGAACCGAGCGACCGUUGUUCGGAAUCACUGGGCUUAAAGGGCGCGUAGGCGGGCUGCCAAGUUUGGGGUGAAAUCCUCCGGCUCAACCGGGGAAGUGCCUCGAAUACUGGCGGUCUCGAGGGAGGUAGGGGCGUGCGGAACUGUAGGUGGAGCGGUGAAAUGCGUUGAUAUCUACAGGAACUCCGGUGGCGAAGGCGGCACGCUGGACCUUUUCUGACGCUGAGGCGCGAAAGCCAGGGGAGCGAACGGG
rnacentral:rRNA from 1 species